rnacentral:rRNA from 1 species
CCGGCACGGUGAGUAACACGUAUGCAAUCCACCUGUAACAGGGGAGUAACCCGGAGAAAUCCGGACUAAUACCCAUAAUAUGGGCGCUCCGCAUGGAGAGCCCAUUAAAGAGAGCAAUUUUGGUUACAGACGAGCAUGCGCUCCAUUAGCCAGUUGGCGGGGUAACGGCCCACCAAAGCGACGAUGGAUAGGGGUUCUGAGAGGAAGGUCCCCCACAUUGGAACUGAGACACGGUCCAA